GGGUGCAAUCAUACCAGCACUAAUGCACCGGAUCCCAUCAGAACUCUGCAGUUAAGCGUGCUUGGGCGAGAGUAAUACUAGGAUGGGUGGCCUCCUUGGAAGUCCUCGUCUUGCACCCC
rnacentral:rRNA from 1 species